UACGAAGGGGGCUAGCGUUGCUCGGAAUUACUGGGCGUAAAGCGCGUGUAGGCGGCUCUGCAAGUCAGGUGUGAAAUCCCACGGCUCAACCGUGGAAGUGCACUUGAAACUGCAGGGCUAGAGUCCUGGAGAGGAAGGUGGAAUGCUUGGUGUAGAGGUGAAAUUCGUAGAUAUCAAGCGGAACACCGGUGGCGAAGGCGGCCUUCUGGACAGUGACUGACGCUGAGACGCGAAAGCGUGGGGAGCAAACAGG
rnacentral:rRNA from 1 species